UACGUAGGGGGCAAGCGUUGUCCGGAUUUAUUGGGCGUAAAGAGCGUGUAGGCGGCCAUACAGGUCAGCUGUGAAAACUCGAGGCUCAACCUCGAGACGUCGGUUGAAACCGUAUGGCUAGAGUCCGGAAGAGGAGAGUGGAAUUCCCGGUGUAGCGGUGAAAUGCGCAGAUAUCGGGAGGAACACCGGUGGCGAAGGCGGUUCUCUGGGCCUGUACUGACGCUGAGGAACGAAAGCGUGGGGAGCGAACAGG
rnacentral:rRNA from 1 species